rnacentral:lncRNA from 1 species
CCAGCACUGUCUCCCGAGGACCUGAGGAGCAGCAGGAGGUGCCAGUGGCUUCGGAGGAUGCAGUGGGAAGGCUGACAGCAGGUUCCAAGCAACGCCGGAGGAGAAGCAAGGUGGCACAGUGCAGCGCCGUCUCUGGCAGGUACUUGAUCAGACCUACGCGUGCCUCAGUUUCCUCAUCUGUGAGCAGAGAGGGUAUGCAGUACCUACUUUGUAAGAUUUUCCACGUGCAGAGCACCUAGGACAGAGCCCGGCACUGUGCCUGCCUACAAAGUCAAACUGAACACUCCAUUCGCAGCAGCUGAAAAGUAGCAGCGACCCAAGCUCCUGCGGAGGGAGGGACGGCCACAGUGGAACACGAUGCAGGUCCAGGGUAACAGGAAGGACGUUGGGACACGGUCUGCAGUGUGGGUGAGCCUGGCCACGACAGGACAAGUCCUGUGUCCUUCCCCUGGC